rnacentral:sRNA from 1 species
AGAGAGAGAGAGAGAUUUCACCGAUUAAUUUAUAAUAAGAAACAAACAUAAUCAAAUAUAAUUUCAUACACAAAUUUAGAUACAGAGACUGCGCUCACCCCUACAAUACUUUUGAAUAAUUUUGAAAAAAAAAAUUAUAAAGAAUUUUAUAACGGCAAUCUGUGUCCAUCGGAGCGGUGUUGAUGUGACUAUAUGUGUUUAAUGGCACGAAAACCCGCCUGGAACAUCCCCUGCCCUUCCUUGGAAACAAUAUCAUCACUCGGAGCACCCCCUCCCCUCCCUUUAAAAGAACUUUUGCAUUUAAUACAUGUUUUUAUUGUUCAGUUUGAUGAAACCUGACUUAAAGGGAACUUAAAAGAUUGUUUAAAGACAACUUAAAGGGAGCGUAAAUGCCACUUAAAGAUGCUUAAAGGUAGCUUAAAGAUGGCUUAAAGGUGACUUAAAAAAAUUUGGACAUUAAGGACCUAUAAGCUCAGCUUAAAGGUGACUUAAAGGUGGCUUAAAGAUUGUAUCUCCUUUAAGCCACCUUUACGCCACCCUUAAGCCACCUUUAAGCCACCUUUAAGGACUUGCUUAAAGAUUGUUUUUCGCCCUGUGAUAAGUCCAACCCUUUGACCCACUUGCUACCGUACAUUAUUAUGUAGAGGAUCUGUUUAAUUUUCAAGAUAUUAUAGACAGCGGUUUUAUGAUAAUUUUAACAUUUAUUGCAGUUAUUAACUAAUAACAGGUUAUUAACUAACUGUUAUAUCAGGAUUCAAUGUAAUAAACAUCGUUUUUGUAAUUUCCAAUGCACAGUAUGUUGUUGCUUCACCCGUAUUUAUAACCCCUGAAAAUAACACCCCUGUGAAUGUUAUUGUCAUUUAAAUUUUAUACCACGUGGUUUUAUUUGACCCUUUAGUUUCGCAGUGAAAAUCGUGCCUCGUGUUUAUAGUCUAUUUUAUAGAAUCUAGGUACUUGUUGUCAAAUAUGAAUUCUAGACGUAUAUAUUGAUUUUAAACUUUAUUUUCAUUAAUUGGUGGAUAAAAUGUGUUCUGGAAAUAAAUGUGACAAUACAAAAAUAGGUUUUUUUUCUGCUGUUGCAACAAUUAACAUGCGUAGUAGAGAUCCAUCCUAGGAAUUAAUUUUCGAUCCGCGCCUUACCUAGUAAAAACAUCAAUCGUGAAAGAGACUACACUAUUUUAUGCAGAAUGUACCUUGAAAAUGGCUCGAUAUACUAAGUUUUUAUGCAAAACAUUCACCCAUUAUUUUUUUUUAAACAUAGUAUUGCACACCACAAGCUUCAAACAUGGCUAUGAUUUUUAUAUUUUCAGCCACUCUACACGUGGUUGAACACGAACGAUAACUCUGUUCUGAAUAUCAUCGUUAAAUUUAAAUAACCGCUAGAUGGUGAAAUAAGACAUACAUCUUAAAAGAUGUUGAUGUUUUAACAUAAAUCAAAGUAGGAUAUGAUAUGAAAAUUGACCAGUACUUAGUAUUUUGAGAAUAAUUUCCGAACACUUAUACUUCCGCUCGAAAUUUCACAGGAACUGAACAAAUGUCGGUGAAGUCUCGUGAACUUUCAUUCGAGCACCUCUGAAUUUAUUACAUACUUAGCAACGAUAAAGAAAACAUUCCGAACACAUUCGCAGGGGUGAAUAAGAUAGUUGCAAUUUAUACUAUAACCACAAGGUUAAUUUAUGCAGUAAAAUGUCUGCAUAUUAGUUUACUAUCAUUAUUUUGCCAGUGAGGUCAGUUUACACGAUUGUGAAUGUAGAAGACCGGGCACUUUCACUUCUCUUUCUGAGGAAAUUCUGGCGAAGUUACCGAUCACCAUCAUGAUCACAAAAAAACUUUUAGGGUCGGAGGGUCGGAAAUUGAGUAUAUAUAUAUGUAUUGUUUGUCAACAAACUGAUUAUGUGUGAAACAUGUAAACAAUUAUACACAAUAUACAAAUUAUGAAGUAGUGAAUUUUUGAAUGCAUUUGGUGUCAACAAAAUGAUUGUUCAUGGGUUUUACUUUUAAGAUAUAUGUGCAUGGACUUUAUAAAUGAAAAUGUGUUUAUUUUAAAGGAUUUAUAUACACAUGUAAAAAUCCAUACCUGUCAUUUCAUUAGUUGAAUAUUUUGAAUACAAUAAAUGAUUCACAAAUAAC